UACGUAGGUGGCAAGCGUUGUCCGGAUUUACUGGGCGUAAAGAGCGCGCAGGCGGCUCGGUAAGUCUGCUGUGAAAUCUCCCGGCUUAACUGGGAGGGGUCAGCAGAUACUGUCGGGCUUGAGGCAGGUAGAGGAAGGUGGAAUUCCCGGUGUAGUGGUGAAAUUCGUAGAUAUUCGGAGGAACACCAGUGGCGAAGGCGGCUUACUGGUCCAUUACUGACGCUGAGGUGCGAAAGCGUGGGGAGCAAACAGG
rnacentral:rRNA from 1 species